rnacentral:rRNA from 1 species
UACGGGGGGAGCAAGCGUUGUUCGGAUUUACUGGGCGUAAAGGGCGCGUAGGCGGUCAGCACAUGUCAGUUGUGAAAUCUCCGGGCUUAACUCGGAAAGGUCAACUGAUACUGUGCGACUAGAGUGCAGAAGGGGCAACUGGAAUUCUCGGUGUAGCGGUGAAAUGCGUAGAUAUCGAGAGGAACACCUGCGGCGAAGGCGGGUUGCUGGGCUGACACUGACGCUGAUGCGCGAAAGCCAGGGGAGCGAACGGG